rnacentral:rRNA from 1 species
GACGAACGCUGGCGGCGUGCCUAAUACAUGCAAGUCGAACGAAGCUGUUUUAACUGGUGCUUGCACCGACUUAAACAACUGAGUGGCGAACGGGUGAGUAACACGUGGGUAACCUGCCCCAAAGCGGGGGAUAACAUUUGGAAGCAGAUGCUAAUACCGCAUAACCACAGAAACCACAUGGUUUCUGUGUCAAAGAUGGUUUCGGCUAUCACUUUGGGAUGGACCCGCGUCGUAUUAGCUAGUUGGUAAGGUAAUGGCUUACCAAGGCAAUGAUACGUAGCCGAACUGAGAGGUUGAUCGGCCACAUUGGGACUGAGACACGGCCCAAACUCCUACGGGAGGCAGCAGUAGGGAAUCUUCCACAAUGGACGAAAGUCUGAUGGAGCAACGCCGCGUGAGUGAAGAAGGUUUUCGGAUCGUAAAACUCUGUUGUCAGAGAAGAACGUGUGCGAGAGUAACUGUUCGUGCAGUGACGGUAUCUGGCCAGAAAGCCACGGCUAACUACGUGCCAGCCGCCGCCGUAA